CCUGGUUCUCCUCCGCCCUCUUCCCCUUCGCCGCCCUGGGCUGGCCCGAGCAGAGCCCCGAGCUGAGCCGUUUCUACCCGACGUCGCUGCUGGUGACGGGCAGUGACCUCCUGUUCUUCUGGGUGGCCCGCAUGGCCAUGCUGGGCCAGCAGCUGACGGGACAGCUGCCCUUCCGGCAGG